CAAUAUGUUCGGGUAAUCGCUGCAACGCUAGACGUUGUUGAGGAAAGUCCAUGCUCGCACAGUCCUGCGAUGGCUGUAGUGUUCGUGCCUAUCGAAGUCAUAAGAUAGGGUAGCUGUGUAUCAGCUAACGGCAGGGAACGGACCUAAGUCCUUUACGGAUAUGGUUCUACUACCUUUAAAGUGCCACAGUGACGUAGUCCUCGAAGAAAUGAGAGGAGUGGAACGCGGUAAACCCCACGAGUGAGAAACCCAAAUUAUGGUAGGGGAAUCCUUUCAAAGGAAUUGAACUGAGAAAGGGACAGAUUAUUCUGUAGAUAGAUGAUUACCACCUUGUAGUACGAGGCGAGAGCCGCUUGCAGUACGAAUGGUACAGAACAUGGCUUACAGAACAUAUGAAAU
rnacentral:RNase_P_RNA from 1 species